rnacentral:lncRNA from 1 species
AUGUAAAGAUCCUAAGUAGUAAAUUAGUUAUCCUCCCACCACCCCCAAAUGAAAAACAUUUCUAAACGAAUUCGUUUGAUUGUUCACCAUAUUGACAUCUUACGACUGUUUAGCUCUACAAAAGAGAAGGUGAUUUAUUUCUCGGAAUGGAUGUUUUUAAACAGUUGGGAAAGCAUAGAUUCUUUAGCUCUGUGGAAAUGGUUGAAUGGUUCUGUUUCGUUUACCAGCAUUCAAAAAGUUAGAACUGUUAGAAGUCUAACUGUAUUAGAAGUCUAGUCUAAACUGUAUUAGGAGUAGGCUAGG